GUUCUCCUACGGGACGCAGCAGUGGGGAAUUUUGCGCAAUGGGGGAAACCCUGACGCAGCAACGCCGCGUGCGGGACGAAGGCCCUCGGGUUGUAAACCUCUUUCAGCAGGGAAGAUCCAAGACGGUACCUGCAGAAGAAGCUCCGGCUAACUACGUGCCAGCAGCCGCGGUAAUACGUAGGGGGCGAGCGUUAUCCGGAUUCAUUGGGCGUAAAGCGCGCGUAGGCGGCCGCCUAAGCGGGACCUCUAACCCCGGGGCCCAACCCCGGGCCGGGUCCCGGACCGGGCGGCUCGAGUGC
rnacentral:rRNA from 1 species